rnacentral:rRNA from 1 species
CGUGCCCAAUGGUGGGGGAUAACCUGGCGAAAGCCAGGCUAAUACCGCAUGAGCUCGUGAGAGGAAAGCGGGGGAUCGGAAACGACCUCGCGCCGCUGGAGCGGCCGAUGUCCGAUUAGCUAGUUGGUGGGGUAAAGGCCCACCAAGGCGACGAUCGGUAGCUGGUCUGAGAGGAUGAUCAGCCACACUGGGACUGAGACACGGCCCAGACUCCUACGGGAGGCAGCAGUGGGGAAUUUUGGACAAUGGGGGCAACCCUGAUCCAGCCAUGCCGCGUGAGUGAAGAAGGCCUUCGGGUUGUAAAGCUCUUUCGGUGGGAACGAAACGGGGCGGGUGAAUAAUCCGUCUCAAUGACGGUACUCACAGAAGAAGCACCGGCUAACUACGUGCCAGCAGCCGCGGUAAUACGUAGGGUGCGAGCGUUAAUCGGAAUUACUGGGCGUAAAGCGUGCGCAGGCGGUCUUGCAAGCUGGGUGUGAAAGCCCCGGGCUCAACCUGGGAGGUGCAUUCAGGACUGCGAGGCUUGGAGUGCGGCAGAGGGAGGUGGAAUUCCACGUGUAGCAGUGAAAUGCGUAGAGAUGUGGAGGAACACCGAUGGCGAAGGCAGCCUCCUGGGCCGACACUGACGCUCAUGCACGAAAGCGUGGGGGAGCAAACAG